AGAGUUUGAUCCUGGCUCAGGACGAACGCUGGCGGCGUGCCUAACACAUGCAAGUCGAACGGGGUGAGGCCCUUCGGGACCUUUACCUAGUGGCGAACGGGUGAGUAACGCGUGAGGAACCUGCCUUUCAGUGGGGGACAACAGUUGGAAACGACUGCUAAUACCGCAUGAAGCUUUUGGGAGACAUCUCCUGGAAGCCAAAGCUUAAUGUGCUGAAAGAUGGCCUCGCGUCUGAUUAGCUAGUUGGUGGGGUAACGGCCCACCAAGGCGACGAUCAGUAGCCGGUCUGAGAGGAUGAACGGCCACAUUGGGACUGAGAUACGGCCCAGACUCCUACGGGAGGCAGCAGUGGGGAAUAUUGGGCAAUGGGCGAAAGCCUGACCCAGCAACGCCGCGUGAAGGAAGAAGGCCUUCGGGUUGUAAACUUCUUUUACCAGGGACGAAGGACGUGACGGUACCUGGAGAAAAAGCAACGGCUAACUACGUGCCAGCAGCCGCGGUAAUACGUAGGUUGCAAGCGUUGUCCGGAUUUACUGGGUGUAAAGGGCGUGUAGGCGGAGAUGCAAGUUAGGAGUGAAAUCUAUGGGCUCAACCCAUAACUGCUUCUAAAACUGUAUCCCUUGAGUAUCGGAGAGGCAAGCGGAAUUCCUAGUGUAGCGGUGAAAUGCGUAGAUAUUAGGAGGAACACCAGUGGCGAAGGCGGCUUGCUGGACGACAACUGACGCUGAGGCGCGAAAGCGUGGGGAGCAAACAGGAUUAGAUACCCUGGUAGUCCACGCUGUAAACGAUGAAUACUAGGUGUGGGGGGACUGACCCCCUCCGUGCCGCAGUUAACACAAUAAGUAUUCCACCUGGGGAGUACGACCGCAAGGUUGAAACUCAAAGGAAUUGACGGGGGCCCGCACAAGCAGUGGAUUAUGUGGUUUAAUUCGACGCAACGCGAAGAGCCUUACCAGGACUUGACAUCCAACUAACGAAGUAGAGAUACAUCAGGUGCCCUUCGGGGAAAGUUGAGACAGGUGGUGCAUGGUUGUCGUCAGCUCGUGUCGUGAGAUGUUGGGUUAAGUCCCGCAACGAGCGCAACCCCUAUUGUUAGUUGCUACGAAAGAGCACUCUAGCGAGACUGCCGUUGACAAAACGGAGGAAGGCGGGGACGACGUCAAAUCAUCAUGCCCCUUAUGUCCUGGGCUACACACGUAAUACAAUGGUGGCCAACAGAGGGAAGCGAAGCCGUGAGGCGGAGCAAAUCCCUAAAAGCCAUCUCAGUUCGGAUUGCAGGCUGCAACUCGCCUGCAUGAAGCUGGAAUUGCUAGUAAUCGCAGAUCAGAAUGCUGCGGUGAAUACGUUCCCGGGUCUUGUACACACCGCCCGUCACACCAUGGGAGUCAGUAACGCCCGAAGUCAGUGACCUAACUGCAAAGAAGGAGCUGCCGAAGGCGGGACGGAUGACUGGGGUGAAGUCGUAACAAGGUA
rnacentral:rRNA from 1 species